CAAGUCGAACGAUGACGGUGGUGCUUGCCCACCUGAUUAGUGGCGAACGGGUGAGUAACACGUGAGUAACCUGCCCCCCACUUCGGGAUAACCUCGGGAAAUCGUGGCUAAUACCGGAUACGAGCACUCAUCGCAUGGUGGGUGCUGGAAAGAUUUAUCGGUGGGGGAUGGACUCGCGGCCUAUCAGUUUGUUGGUGAGGUGAUGGCUCACCAAGACGAUGACGGGUAGCCGGCCUGAGAGGGCGACCGGCCACACUGGGACUGAGACACGGCCCAGACUCCUACGGGAGGCAGCAGUGGGGAAUAUUGCACAAUGGGCGAAAGCCUGAUGCAGCGACGCCGCGUGGGGGAUGACGGCCUUCGGGUUGUAAACCCCUUUCAGUAGGGAAGAAGCGAGAGUGACGGUACCUGCAGAAGAAGCGCCGGCUAACUACGUGCCAGCAGCCGCGGUAAUACGUAGGGCGCAAGCGUUGUCCGGAAUUAUUGGGCGUAAAGAGCUUGUAGGUGGCUUGUCGCGUCU
rnacentral:rRNA from 1 species